rnacentral:piRNA from 1 species
UCUCACAGAGGAAACUAGAAAUGACAGGU